CGGCUGGCGGGUGAAAGACUGCACGAAGAAGACGAUCUUAAGUGGAGCUGUGCUGCUGUGGAUACUCUCCUUUGGCUUUUAUCAACACCAGCUUAUGAAGUGGUGAUGGAUGGUGAUUGGGUUCUGGUCAUCGUGACGCGUGGACACCUUCCUGCCGUGGACGGGACAAAGCCACGAGACAAAUAUAUUAAGGUGGAAUGAUUUGAAGCGCUCCGAAACACUGAUGGCGUGUCUCGAAGAGUUAGGCCUCUCUGUAAAGGUUUACACGUCAUGUACUUACCAAGGAGCUCGCAUGUCACCACACCACUAAGCAAAGUCUAUACAAGAGGCGUGUAGCAUAUUCUGGCAGUAAGGGGCGUGGUGGCGAGGCGCCCUCCAGGAGUCAUCACUUAGUCAUCAUCCACACAGUUGGCUGAAUCGGG